rnacentral:lncRNA from 1 species
UUUCCAUUCUAAAUUUCUAUAGAGAAGCAACUUGGCCUACUGGAAAGAGUCCAGGCCUGGGAGUCAGAGGACCUGGGUUCUAAUCCCAGUUCUGCUCCUUACCUGCUGUGUGACCUUGGACAAGUCACUUCACUUCUCUGUGCCUCACUUCCCUCAUCUGCAAAAUGGGGAUUCCAUACCAGUUCUUCCUCCUGCUUAGACUGUGAGCCCCACUGUGGGACUUGAUUGUCUUGUAUUUACCCAAGCACUCAGUACAGUGCUUGACACAUAGUAAGCAUUUUACAAAUAACACAAUUAUCAUUAUUUAAUCUUCAAGGGCCUGGAAGAGACCAGAGCGAUAUCUAUAACACUCUGCUUCCCGGCUUGCUGCUUAUUACAGGAGGAGUUGGUACCGAACCCUAGAAAAAGCGGGCUGUACGGCGUGACACCGGUCCGCCCGGUCUAGCGGCAAGCUAUUUCAGAGCUCAGCUCUCCGGCUACGUUGCUCGGCUUAUAAAGAUCCCUGAACCCCGGCUAGGAAGACAGUCUUGUGAACCGAGAAGGCUGAUGGCAAGCCAACGAGGCAGAGUACAACCUCCGCUUCAUACUGCUUAUGGAGAUGACAACCCACCCCCCGACACCAAAAAGACCCGGUGACAUCCCUGAAGCAGAUUUCCACAGCCACUGCUGACCCCGAAGGACAGUGGGGACACGCUGGCUAAUCCCCAUUUCUACCACCAUAAAAAUGAAAUCCCUAAAUCCCUUGCAGAUGUGAGGCCUACUCUGUCGACUGUCUGAUCAGAGAUCCUCAGUGACCAUCCAGGCUGCUAAAAUCUUAAUUAGACAUCUCGGGGAGGGCCUACCGCUCCUCCUCUUCCCGACGGAGCUUUGAUCGGUCAGCCGGCCGGACACGAUUCUGUUUCCCUGGAGCAUCGGGCCUCGCCGUGGGUUUAUGCUAUCUCCGAGGCGGAAUCCUCUCAUCCGACCAAUUAUCUCUCCCUGGAAUUUUCUACAGCAGGAUGG